GCAGACAAGAAAGGCUGCCCAGGGACUGUUCUUUACCUCUCUGAGGAGGGCAUGUGUUCUCCCUGCGCUGUGGUGAAUGCAGCUCACCAUGGGUGUCUUUUGCACAUCAGAUGCAGAGAGGAAAGCAUCCCGCUCCUAUACUCACCUGUGGGUCUGAAACAUUCAUUGCAUACAUGCCUGUUGUGUGCCUGUUUUGCCCAUCUCCAUUUUUUGGGGGCAUAUUGGCAAGUGCCGUUAUAAAUCACUCUGCCCUUUCAUUUCAGAAGCACAAAUAUCUAUGUGAAAAAGUCACAGAAGUUUUCCUGGGAAGUGAGAAAAUAUGUUUAUUUGAGAAGCAAGAAUGCUGAAGAGUCAGCUCCAUCCUAACCCACAGCAUGAAAGGAAAAUCUGCUUUGGAAACAGCAAAGUGAACAAGUCUUCUCUUGUUACACUUGUGUCCUGGCUGCUGCAGAGUGAAUGUGACACCCUUCCAAAAAUUUGCAUCCCAAAUGGUGCCUGGGAACCUCAAGCGAAGCUAUCGAAUACUUCAUUUUGGAAAAGAAAUCUCUUCACCAGCUCUGGAGGAAGUAUGUAACAUGAGGUUCCACUGCAGUCAAACAUCAGUCCUGGCCGAUGGGAGGCUGAAUGCAUGGCUCAACUGGUGUCACUGAUCUGCUGAGGCUGUUGGUGCCCACUGGUGGGAUAACGCAGUUUUUAAGGCUUUGAAACUUGGUUUUGAACGCUGGUUCCUUGACAGAGAAAAGUGGUCUGGCAGAAGUGAGGUAGGCAGCAAGGUGAUAAGGUCCUUCAGUGGCAGCUACCACACAAGCCCUCAGGGGUGGUCACAGGCCAUCAUCAGGGUCCUGUUUAUUUUGACUGGGUUUGCAGGCCACUGCUCAUUAAACCUUGAUUUUGGUAUUUGUGAUAAAUGAGCCAUGUUCAUCCUUUUGGAAACCUAGGCAAAUUCCCAGAGCUGCAGCAGAGAUUAAUUUUGACCCAGCAAGUUACAGGGGGAAGCUGAAAAGAGUACUUGUCCCUUAAAAGACAAAAAUACCUUUUGGGGAGCCUUUCUGUUUUGUAAGCAAGGAGAUGAUGGGGGUCAGAGAGCUCCUGGUGCCUGUGGACGAUUUUGGCUUUCAGCUUGAUGUUGGUUGUUGAAAAUGUUUCCCCAGAUGUAUUAAUACAACCAGACUGGAUUGCAUCUGAGCUGAACAUUGUGAGCCUAAGGCAGGACAUAAAUAUAGAAGCAAACCAGCCUGACAUAAGAGUCAUCUGUCCUCUUCUGCACAAGAAGCGAAAGGGAAAGAGAGACAACUUAUUCUGUUGCAAUUUUUAGAUGCUUCCAGGCAUUAGCUUGGGCUUCUGAGAGUGCCUGCCCCAGGGCCCUGGGGCACAGAAGACCCCAUGUAUCCCUCGCUCAGCCCCCAGCAUGCUGUGCCACAGGACUAAGCACUCAGCACAUUUUUAACCCGGGGUUAGAUUUGCUUAGACAAGGUCUGCAAUUGGGAAUGACUAUUUGAUGUGUUUGCCUAACAGGAUUACCCUUAUCAUAAUGAUAUUGCAACCUGGCCUUGGCAGGGCAAACCCCAAGGGCUCAAGGGAUCAAACCCUCACCUCCCUUGCCCCAGAUAGGCACAGCAGAGCUUGCCUCUUAGCAUGCAGUAUCCAGCCAGUGUUUCAGUUGGCAUUUAAUACUCUGCUUUUGGAAAUGGCUCUUUUGCUGUGAACCACGGACUGCAGACACCAUGUUUGGAAUUCAUCUCUUCACAUCUGAAAAAAAAAUUAAAAUCAAUAAUAUUUGAAGGCUGGAAAAACAAUGCCGUGUUUUACAAUUAGAGAACUGUACACCUUCCCUGUUGGGAAUUGCCCUGAGCAGGUGCCUGAUUGAAUUCAGUGUGAAUUUUUUGUCCUCUGGCUCCCUAAGAAUAGGUAAUGAACCAACAAGUUGCCUGCUUUUUUGUAUUGUGUAUUGUGAACAUGCCUAAAAUCGUUAUAGAAGCAUCUGUUUGUCUCUAAAAGUGUAUCUGUGGUUAUUAAAGUCUGCUGACUUAAAAGACUCGAGGAAGGCGUAGGAUGAAAGCUCUGUUUUCCUUCAGGUAAAUAGGAUAACAGCUUUGCUAAAGCAGAGCCUGACUCCACUGAUGGUUGGCACCCAGACAUGUCCACCCCAGUUUCUGGCAGAGUGAGGGGCACCCCGUUGUUCCCCGGCAGUGUCACUUUAACCCUAGCACUUCUCGGACCAGCUAAGAUGAGCCUGGCCUUACCACCUCUCAGGGCUAUUUGUGGAAGCAGAACCUGCUGCUUGCUAUUUGGGGGUUCCAAAACAACCAGAAUCCUCUAUUUAUAAUCUGCUAUAACUGGCUUGAAUGAAACCUGUGCUUCUCUGGGCUUUAGGGCCACAAGACUGCUGGUGCAGCAGCACCCUCAUUCCAGGGAAUGCUGCUGGGGAUGCUGAGAUGGUUCUGCAUAAAAUCAAGGGAUGUGUAGGUACAUAGUGUGAGCCAUACGUUCACAGCCUCCUGGGUUUUGGAGCAGACUGUACUUGUCAAGGCUAUGUUGAACCCCUUCUCUAGACAAGGUUUGGAAGGAUGGAGCAAGGCAGAGAGACAUCUUCCCACUGCAGCAGCAUCACUGUGGAGAUGCUCGGGUUGCUGAAGGGAGUGUUACUCUAACCAUCCUUUUUUUUUCCCCCCAAGGCUUUUAUAGCUGGGAUGUGAGCAGGGCCCUGUGACUUGGAAACAACCUAUUCAGUGAUUUCAGUUCACCUGUGAUUAGUGUAUAUUUAAUCUUGGUGGUGAAUGUGGCUGUUCACAUCUUGCUGUUCAGAGUGGAACUGCUCUGACCUCGUAGCUCAUUGCAGGACAAACUCCUCCUCUCCAAGACAAAGCAAAUCAGCCACCUCUUUUUUUGGAAGCAGGUACAUAUAGUAUAAUGCUUACCCAGGGGUUGUAGUUGAUCUGGUUUUGCUGUGAUAAAUCCCUCUGCCAUUUCAGCCAUAAAACAUGAUAAAUAUGAGGCCAAGCAGAAAGAUUAAAAAAAUAAAUAAAUAUUGACUAAUGCUUU